UAAAAUAUCAUUUUAUUAAUAUAAUUCUUAUUACAUUUACAAUGGGGUAAAACUAAAUCAGCGAAAAAAUAAAAACCACCAGAAAACCUAGCUUCCGGUGGUAAAACUAAAAGAAAUCCACAAGAAAAUCAGCCUUCCUGGGUAAAACUAAAUCUGCAGAUUUAGUUUUACCGAAUCUGGUUCUUUUUCCCAAGAAAGCUUCUCACUACUCAUCAUUUUAUCCCCAGAAUUGACCUUUCUCUUUUUACACCAAAAUAAAGAAGGAAAAAAAAAAGGAAGGAAAAUAAGGAGAUUCAUAGGGGGGAGAGUGAGGAGGAGAAUGAGAAUGUGAGAUGGUGUGAGGACGUCGAUUUUUCCAAAACUUGUUUUCCUCAAGGAAAUGAAGUAGAAUUAAGGUUGUAUACUGAUUAUAUGAUUUCUAAAAAUGGUAGUAAUUGGUUUCAUUGAGUUUUAACUUAUUUUGCUUUGAAAAUGGACUUCUUUCGAAAAAGUGAUAAAGAGAGACGAACUUUGUGAUUUUCAUGAUUUUGUCGUAUUUAGCCGGUGAAACGUACAUGCAUACUCAAGUGCACUUAUAUGCGAUCUAAGUGUAUGCAUAGUUGAGGCAUUGGAAUUUGUUUAAUUGGUUUUGUUUCAAUUGCUUCAAUUAUUUUAAAGUUGUAAAAUGAUAGACAAACUUUGUCAAAAAUAAUCUUUAAGAUCAAAUAUUUGACAAAUCUUUUGUGGAUAGUUUGAUAUGAUUAUAUGAAAAUGUGUGAAUGAUUGCUAGGUGUUGAAUAUGAUGUUUAUCAUAAUGUGUUGUAUUUUCUCCUUUACUUGAAUUGUGAGAAAUUGUAUGAAGUUGUUGUGACGUUGGUUGAUAGUUGUGAUAAUGAAUAUGUUGAUAAUGAUGUGGUGAUGACUUCUUAUUGAAUUGUGACUUGUUGAUUGUGUGGAUGUAAAUACUUGAUAAUGCACUUGUUGUUGAAGUUGUUCAAUAUAAAUGAAGGUUAUCUUUUAUAUUGUUGUUGAUUGUAUAUGAGGUGAUUUGCAUUGUCGAGUCUUUGCUUGUAUGUCCAUGCAUCAUAGUCAUGUUGAGUUGUUGAUGUUGUAAAGGGGUGUGCUCUUUUACUUCGGCGAAAAUGUAAGACGGGUGUGAAAUCUUAAAUAGGAUGUUCUGUUGGCAUCUUAAGGUGACGACCUUUGUUGGUGACGGUACUGCAUGCAUUUAGGUUUCAUGUAUAGGCGCAUAAUACAUUCUUACAUGUGUCCUAUGUGUACAUGUGCU
rnacentral:lncRNA from 1 species